GACGAACGCUGGCGGCGUGCUUAACACAUGCAAGUCGAGCGGUAAGGCCUUUCGGGGUACCCGAGCGGCGAACGGGUGAGUAACACGUGGGUGAUCUGCCCUGCACUUCGGGAUAAGCCUGGGAAACUGGGUCUAAUACCGGAUAUGACCUCCUAUCGCAUGGUGGGUGGUGGAAAGAUUUAUCGGUGCAGGAUGGGCCCGCGGCCUAUCAGCUUGUUGUUGGGGUAAUGGCCUACCAAGGCGACGACGGGUAGCCGACCUGAGAGGGUGACCGGCCACACUGGGACUGAGACACGGCCCAGACUCCUACGGGAGGCAGCAGUGGGGAAUAUUGCACAAUGGGCGAAAGCCUGAUGCAGCGACGCCGCGUGAGGGAUGACGGCCUUCGGGUUGUAAACCUCUUUCAGCAGGGACGAAGCGCAAGUGACGGUACCUGCAGAAGAAGCACCGGCUAACUACGUG
rnacentral:rRNA from 1 species